UAAAUUGUUAAAAUAAGAAUAAAUAAUAAAAGAAGUUCUGUUUAUUUAUGUGAAUGAAUAAAAUGAUAAAAUCUAGAAAAAGGUAGUAGAAUUCAAAGAAGAAGAAAAAUAGAAACUACUUGUUGCCCUAAUCUUAGUGACAAUAACAAUUAUUGUCUUAUAUGGAGUAAUAAAGAAUAUGGAUAUUAACAAGCAAAAAGGAUUAAUUAUUCUUAUUCUUAGCACGAUGGAAGGUAC
rnacentral:lncRNA from 1 species